rnacentral:rRNA from 1 species
CGACCGGCGCACGGGUGAGUAACGCGUAUGCAACCUGCCCGUUUCAGCGGGAUAACCCGGAGAAAUCCGGCCUAAUACCGCAUGCGGCCAGGGGAGGCAUCUUCUUUCGGCCAAAGGAGGCGACUCCGGAGACGGAUGGGCAUGCGUGACAUUAGCUAGUUGGCGGGGUAACGGCCCACCAAGGCGACGAUGUCUAGGGGUUCUGAGAGGAAGGUCCCCCACACUGGUACUGAGACACGGACCAGACUCCUACGGGAGGCAGCAG